UCUGUGAGUGUUGGACACCUGUUAUGCCAACUUUUUGAAGCUUGAUUACUUAACGUGUUUUAAGUUAAAAUUUUAGGUUGUGCAGAAGGCUGCUCAAUAUUUCUGGCCAAAGACAGGUGAAAAUCUUUUCUUUUACAGAUGUACCACCAUCACCUGCCGUUUUAGGUACUGCUGGGCUAGAGGCCGAAAAGAUGUGAGGCUAGGAGAUGAAACCAUGGUAGGUCAACUUUUGACAAAAUCUUUGCCAUUGUAGGCCAAUUUUUGACAAAAUUUUUGACAUCGUAGGUCAAUUUUCGAUGGCGUCACACGGGGACCGCACAUUGCAGCUCGCUCUUUGCCACUAUUCAAUUCGGCCAAGGUAAACAAAUUUGUCUCAGUCAGCAGUAUAAAGGACCGCUGAGUAUGUUAAAAACUGAGGGGGCUAAAACGUUUUAGGGGGGGCUAAACAUGCUAAAAACCAAAAGCAGGUCGAAUUUUCGUAAGAUCAUAAGUAUGUUUUGGAAAUUUUCGGAGGGAGGGGGCUAAAACCCCCGUAGUCCCCCAGCUUUUGCGAUCCCUGUGCAGCAUGACCCAAGCUACAAAUAAGGUGCCUCCGGACGCUCCUAUAUAUCUUGUCCGGUUAUUUCACUGAUAAGUAGGUGAUAGAUGAUUUCCAGUGGCGACAUCAGGGAGAGGCCCAGAUUGUGCCUCGAGUUGAUUUCGACUCAGAUGGAAUGAAAUGGCGGCAAAAGAUGGAGUGGUCGGUUCCGGUCCUGAAGACGAUGAUGGUGUGGGAAUGCCGUAGCUCAAUGGGACGAUUUAUUGUUUAUGGUUGCUGAGAAGAUCAAAUUGUCAUGAUGAUGAUUAUUAUUACAGCAGACAGUGUGUAUGGAGCCGCUGUGAAUUUGAACAGGCAAUAAAUAUAAUGAUUUCACCUGGAAGGUAACAGCAAUGUCUUCAAAUGAUUGCAGAAAGGUAUUCAAUAGUUUUUUGGUUACUUAAAGGCAAGUAUUUUUUCUUUAGAUUUUUGAAAUUUUUAUAUACAGAAGGUUCAGGGGUUUUUAGGGUGAAUUAGACUUUCUUGGUUGUUUCGAGUGUUUAAGAUAUUCAAAAUUUUUGAAUUUUUUUACAGAUCCAGGGUCAUGAGCCUUAAAUUCGCCAAAAUUACCCGAAAUGGUGUUUGGAACGUGUAUUAAGAAUUUCUUGGUUGUUUCAAGAAAAAAAAAAUUCAACAUUUUUGAAGUUUUUUACAGGUCCGGGGUCAUGAAAUUUUUCAAAAAUGGUUAAAUCCUUUUAUUCAAAAUAAGAGUCUGAAAUUCAACGAAACCACCCGAAAU